rnacentral:misc_RNA from 1 species
AUUUCCACAAUCCGCAUUCUUCUAUAGAGAUGUGUGCAUAAAGUAUGUUCAGCAAGCUCUGAACUACAUAUAAAAUACGAAAUUACGUGACCCAUUGCUAAUAACAAGUAAGGCAGUAGGAAGUACAAGAUUAUGGUCUAAUCUGCAGGCACAUAUCAUUCCAUCAAUAUGGGUUUCCAGGCUCACCACAUUCGCGCCUUUACUCGUGAUUAGGCGGGGGGAAACAUGCCAUUGCAUCCACUUCAAGAUUUGAUUAUGGUAAAGGUGAGCAGUAGGUUGAGGUGUAUUACUCCAAA